rnacentral:misc_RNA from 1 species
AUCGCCGUUCGCAGAAGAUAUUGUAUUAUUAUUAUUAUUAUUUGUUGAAGAAAUUCAGUAGGCGGAAUAAUAUAAGAGUUGAUAUGCGCCGGUGGUGAUCAGGUGUAUAGAUAUGAAGUUCUGGAAGAGCCUGAGCAUAUUGAUAGAGGACACCUUACCGGAAUGGAGAGACAAGUUUUUAUCCUAUAAAGAUUUGAAGAAACAACUCAAGCUGAUUUAUCCCAAGGAUGGAGAUAAGCCACAGAAUAAACGGCCCAGAUUAGAGCCUGUGGCACCGACCGAUAUGGAGGAGAGUGGCGGUGAGGUGACGAAGGAGGUGAUUGAUUUCGUUAGGCUGUUGGAGGACGAGAUGGAGAAGUUUAAUUCCUUUAUUUUUGAAAAAGAAGAGGACUUUGUUAUCAAAUGGAAGGAGCUGCAAGAUAGAGUAAAAAAGGCCAAGGAUUCAAAUGAAGAACUGAUGGAAGUGGGAAGGGAGAUAGUGAAUUUCCAUGGAGAGAUGGUUUUGUUGGAGAAUUACAGUGCUCUUAACUACACAGGACUUGUGAAGAUAUUAAAAAAAUAUGACAAGCGAAGUGGUGCUUUGGUUCGCUUGCCUUUCAUCCAAAAGGUUAUGCAGCAGCCAUUCUUCACUACUCAUGUGCUUAACAAGCUUGUGAAGGAGUGUGAGACCAUACUUGAUAGUCUUUUCUCUAGAAAAGAACCGUCAAUAUCACCUGAUGCAACUGUCGUAGGAGGUUGUGACUCCGAAACUUCAUCAGAAAGCAAGGAUAUGCCACUUGAAGUACCAAGAGAGCUUGCUGAGAUUGAGAAUAUGGAGAACAUGUUCAUGAAGCUAACUUUAUCAGCAUUGCGUGUCCUUAAGGAGGUUCGGAGUGGAAGCUCAACUGUGAACUUGUUUUCAUUGCCCCCUUUGCAAAGUAAUGCCUUGGAAGAGGAUUGGAAGAAAGUUCCUAUCUUAGAACAAGCUGCCAAAUAGAGUUCUAUUUUUAGAGUCUUACCCCCUUUUUUUGUACAAGUUUUUAAAUAUUGGAAGGAUACUCUGACCUUCUUCCACUUCUUUUUCUCCCUUUUCUUUUUUGGGAUUGGGUGUGUGUGGUUGGUGUUGUUGAUAUGGUACUUGUUUUUUUAUUAUCCUCUAUUUAAC